rnacentral:rRNA from 1 species
CUUGGUGGUGAUGGCGAAGAGGCCACACCCGUUCCCAUGCCGAACACGGAAGUUAAGCUCUUCAGCGCCGAUGGUAAUGAAGGGGCAACCCUUUGUGAGCGUAGGACGCCGCCAAGC